rnacentral:rRNA from 1 species
AACGAACGCUGGCGGCGCGUCUUAAGCAUGCAAGUCGAACGGCAAGAGAGGAGCUUGCUUCUCUCCUAGAGUGGCGGACUGGUGAGGAACACGUGGGUAAUCUACCCUUAAGAUGGGGAUAGCUGCUAGAAAUAGCAGGUAAUACCGAAUACACUCGGCAUAUCUCAAGAGGUGUUGAGGAAAGGAAGCUACGGCUUCGCGUGAGGAUGAGCUUGCGUCCCAUUAGCUAGUUGGUGAGGUAAAGGCCCACCAAGGCGACGAUGGGUAUCCGGCCUGAGAGGGUGAACGGACACAUUGGGACUGAGAUACGGCCCACACUCCUACGGGAGGCCGCAGCUAAGAAUAUUCCGCGAUGGACGGAAGUCUGACGGAGCGAAGCCGCGUGGAUGAAGACGGCUGCAUAGUUGUAGAAUCCUUUUGUUGUUGAAGAAUAAGGGUGAGAGGGAAUGCUCAUCUGAUGACGGUAAUCGACGAAUAAGCCCCGGCUAAUUACGUG